rnacentral:misc_RNA from 1 species
GGAUGACAGGCUUCUAAUGUCCAUCUCUUUGGUUUCGUGAUCCUCGUCAGUUGAAUGUACUGUUGAAGACAUUGAUAGUUGAAUUCACCACAACAAAAUGAAGGAAGCUACUGGAAAGAGGAGGCUAGGCAACAAGUGUAGGAAGAUGCAAAGCUUUCCUGAUCAUGAAAUGGUGCAUAGCGGCUCCUGCUUAUAUAAGUUAUGAAAGGAUUACAGGUCAAACCUUCCUAGUUGAAAGGUGGGGGGGUAGGGGGGAGAGGAAUUAUCAUGAAUUAGUAAGGUAUGAAUCUAGAUCUCUCUUACAUGUCACAUACAUGACACGAAACAAAGUGAACUUAAAUUUUUUUAAGAUUGGACCGACUAGAGCGUGGGUUAUUCUACACAUAAAGAUUGAGGUAAGCAGGCGAUCAUCUCCUCCAUAGUUGUGGUGGUUAUAGAUUAGGGGAAAAAAAUUGCAGGAGAAGGUGUUGACUCGGGGGCACAGGUGGCAGUAGCUAUGAAACUCAAAGUGGCAUUUAUAUAUAAUUUCUUUUUCCUGUAUACUUUUUUUUUUUCUC